UUAGUGGCAAACGGGUGAGUAAUGCACAAAAAUCUGCCCAAUAGUGGGGGAUAACAAUUGGAAACGAUUGCUAAUACCGCAUGUGUCGGAGACGAUAAAGAUUUAUCGCUAUUGGAUGAUUUUGUGUACGAUUAGCUAGUUGGUGAGGUAACUGCUCACCAAGGCUAUGAUCGUUAGCCGGUCUGAGAGGAUGAUCGGCCACACUGGGACUGAGACACGGCCCAGACUCC
rnacentral:rRNA from 1 species